rnacentral:rRNA from 1 species
UACGUAGGGACCAAGCGUUGUUCGGAUUUACUGGGCGUAAAGGGCGCGUAGGCGGCAUGACAAGUCACUUGUGAAAUCUCCGGGCUUAACUCGGAACGGCCAAGUGAAACUGUCGAGCUAGAGUGCAGAAGGGGCAAUCGGAAUUCUUGGUGUAGCGGUGAAAUGCGUAGAUAUCAAGAGGAACACCUGAGGUGAAGACGGGUUGCUGGGCUGACACUGACGCUGAGGCGCGAAAGCCAGGGGAGCAAACGGGAUUAGAAA